GCACCCCAGCAAAGUAAGGCACUGCUAUUAUCCCCAUUUCACAGAUGAGGAACCGAGGCCCAGAUCCUUAAAACAAUGAAUAAGGAAUUGGAAUGGGACUCAAGAAACCUUCUAGUCCCAGCCCUGCCACUGGCCUGCUGAGUGACCUUGGGGAAAUCACUUUGCAUCUCCAUGUCUCCAUUUCUACACCCGUAAAAUGGAGCUAAUGACACAUACCUCCUUUGUAAAGGGCUUUGAGGUCUGCUGAUGAAAAGCACUAGGAAGACACUGUAAUGGUUACCCUCUCUUCACAACUGGAAGAUUUUUCAACUGGGCUUCAAAGUUCUUUUUAAAGUGAAAGCUGAGAUUCU